rnacentral:rRNA from 1 species
AGCGAACGCUGGCGGCAGGCCUAACACAUGCAAGUCGAACGAAGUCUUCGGACUUAGUGGCGGACGGGUGAGUCACACGUGGGAACGUGCCUUUAGGUUCGGAAUAACUCAGGGAAACUUGUGCUAAUACCGAAUGUGCCCUUCGGGGGAAAGAUUUAUCGCCUUUAGAGCGGCCCGCGUCUGAUUAGCUAGUUGGUGAGGUAAAGGCUCACCAAGGCUACGAUCAGUAGCUGGUCUGAGAGGAUGACCAGCCACAUUGGGACUGAGACACGGCCCAAACUCCUACGGGAGGCAGCAGUGGGGAAUCUUGCGCAAUGGGCGAAAGCCUGACGCAGCCAUGCCGCGUGGAUGAUGAAGGUCUUAGGAUUGUAAAAUCCUUUCACCGGUGAAGAUAAUGACUGUAGCCGGAGAAGAAGCCCCGGCUAACUCCGUGCCAGCCGCCGCGGUAAUAC